CGUGUGCUUCCCGGAUCCUGAAUGCCUCCUUCUCACGGAGUCCAUGUCUUUACAUGGAUGGUGGGUAUGUCCUCAUGCAUUUGGCCAGACACUAGCAUCUGCAUUGGCCACAUUGCCUGCUGAUGCUAAUCCUGCAGCCUACCCUAAUUCUUGGAGUUCUUGACCCAUUUCUCAUUGUAGGAUAACAAGUAUCUUGACUGUAAUCUAUUAAUUGAAUAAUUGAAUAAACUUGUUUCCCUCCAGCGCAAGCAUACUGUUUGCACACAGUGUCAUCCCAGGCCCUCCGGCUAUGGAAGGCCUGCCAGAUAUGUUUAUUAAACCCCCUGUGCCUGGAAAGAACACAGAAAGCUGUCAUCUAGAGCAAUACAAAAGUGCCUAUCUCAGCUGGAGAUCUCGCUGUUAUGAAUAAAGGAAGAGUUUGUGGUACAGUUUUGAGAUGUAAAGAGAAAAAGCUUCCCCACAGUGCAAAUGUGUUGUAACCCUCAGGCGAGAAGAAAAAUAUUGAAUUGUUGCUGGCAGUACAAUGUAAUUACUGAGUUAGUGGCGGUUAUGUUUCUAAGCUUCUUAAGGUAGAAAUCACAUUAAUUUGGCCUUCUCCAAAGGACAUUCCAGGUUGUUAAACUGAACUGUUGAAACAUUUCUCACUAAUGAACCUGGCCAAUGAACGGCCAUUUUCACAUAAGUCAAAUGCUGGACAAGUUGGCGGCGAACAAGGAGAUGUGCUACCGAGGCAGGCUUUGUUAGCAAGCAGCCGCACUGCCUCGGGAGGUGUUUUCCAAUUCCUGCUGUUCAGACAUCUGACCCAGGCUGCAAAGGAGUGGGAGGCACGAGGCAGACAAUGGUGCUGUCCUCAGAAGUGAUGGGAGGGGACCUGGUGUCUCACUGGAGGACGGAGCCCCUCAUGGCACACACCCGAGCAUUCCAAGAUGCCAUCCUGUGAACGAACAGACACUCAGCUCUUGAAAAAUGGGGUCUUCUGUCCCUUCCCUGGGUCCUCAAGCUGCAGGCAUUUCCAGGGUCAUAGCAGACCCUGGCUCAGAAGGACAUCACGACAGCCAGGCAGAACCAGUGGGUCUGCCACCAUCUCAGACGCUAGGUCACCCUGGGGCAGUCGGCACUGCUUCCUGCAGCCCUGUGUCCCUGCAAAGCGUCCUCAGUGAAGGUGGCAGGUCAGAAAAGUAGAUGGCCACUCCCCACCCCCACCCAUGUGACUUGGAAGGUUCUGUGUCCUGAAAGCAGAAGGAGGUUUUCCACGGGUGAGUGUAUUUGCUGCGCACAGUCCUGGGUGGAGCUGGGACACCGUGUUUAACAAGGGCAUCGGUGGGAGCUGGAGGAAGGCAGGAUCCCUUGAAGGAUUGUGUUUCCAUAUGGACGCAGGAACCCAAGGACGCAUGCUGUAGUGAGGAGGUGUGCUGUAGUGAGGAGGUGUGCUGUAGUGGAGCGGGGUCACUGAAGCCUCACUGGCCUGCACUCACUCACGCAGACACGUGGACACAUGCAGACACGUCGACACAGGGCUCACCCUUUCAUCACUUGGAGGUCAGUGGUCAUGUGAUUUGGACCACUGAGGACUGGAGAAUCCAGAGGCUGAGUGCCUGAGGAGUGCUUGCAAGCUGUUGCAGGGUUUGUGGCUUUACAGGCCACACAGGGCCUCGCUGAGGACGACACACUGGGAAGCCACGCACUUGGCCGGGCUUUGCCUCUGUUCUCAGAGGAUCCUGCCAGGUAAGAGCUUCAUUCCUACCUCAGCUUGCUUUUGUGCUUUCAUUAUAUUAUGGUGUCUAGGUUUUGCAUAUGUUGGGGGUUUGAAUUUUUUUAACCUGUCUUUAAUCCCAUCUUGUCUGAUGAGCUCCUGACUCAGCCUAUCUAUAUCUUUAAUUGAUGCUCUCUUCAACUCUGUGUGCUAAAUUGCAGUUCCACAAUCUACCUGAGAGAUAGACAGUUCAAUCAAUGUACAAGCUACUCUACUUAUUUUAAAUAAAUGCCUUUCAGACUUAGUAAACACCAUUAGGGGAAACAUGGAUCGUUUCAAAUAAGGUAACUGAUUUAUAUUUCUUCAAAUGAAACCCCUAAACGCACCUAAGUAAAGAAAUACUUACAUGAACCCUAGUAAACUGCUUUUUGUGUGGAGUGUGUCUUGGCUUUCAGAACCAUGUAGUUGAUCCAGAUGCCUUGAGCAACAAAUGACAAGUGUGCCCUUGCUGGUAGCUGAUAAAUGUUCUGGUACUCUUUGUAAGGUUCUAAGUUUAGGACGCCAAGAUAGCCUGCUUCUGAUGCUAUACCUAACAUGUAGUUAUCACAAACUUAGUUAAUAUGACAUUUAACAGUGGAGAGCUCAAGGGCUUUAGCUUUUAUUCUUUUCAAACAUGUAUGUAAAGGGAAUACCAAAUAAUCACUGAGCUUAGUGAAUAAUUGUAAAGGGUUUUGUUCUACUUCCAGAACUUCCUCACUGUAGCCGUAGAUGAGAAAUGGUCCCCAUCUCAUUUCCGAGUGAUUUAAUGUUUGGUGACUCUCCUGCUGCACCCAAAAAAGAAAAGGGAAUACAUUUCACUCUCCUUGUACCACACUCUACAGGGGCAUGUCCUUAGUGCAGGGCUCCUUCGAUCAUUGGGAUGCUCAUACUUUGUCUGAACGUGGAUAACUACCUAAAUAAAUCAAGAAAACAAACAAACAACCAUUUAAGCACCUUUGUUUUCUUCCUGACUGGUCCUUCCUCUUUGUGGUCCAAGCUGAAACCUGCACAUUUUCCAGUGAGUGGCCUGGUCAUCAUGGACCUGCAAGGCUGGAGCUACUGGUUUUCCAUGGAUCUGAUUAGGAAGUGAGUACCAGCUCCUUCAGCACUGGUUCUCAUUUACCUGAAAAUGACCUUUUUCUACCUCUCAAAAGAAAGGGUUUAAGGUGGGGAUGCCAAGGCAGCAAUACUACAUUUUAUUUGAAUACAUGGGCUUUGAAAUCAGACAAAUGUAGAGUAAGCAGUUAAUUACCCACCUUACCUUGAGUAAGACUGACUUUGGUUUAAAGAUCUACCCUGUGCUUCACGGGAUAAUAAUGAGAAUUAGUUCUAUUUUCCUUUUUUUCUUUGUUGUGGUCCCCGGGAUGGAGGCCAGGGUUCUGCACGCGCUGGGCAAAUGCUCUCCCACUGAGCAACAUCCGCAGACAUUCAUGGACUAUGAGAUAGAUAGAUUCUCACUAUGUUGCCCAGGCUGUCCUUGAACUUGCAAUCCCCCAGCCUCUCAAUUUGCUGGGGUUCUCCUAUACCUAGCAAUGAGAACUAUGUGAGUUGUUUUGAAAAUGAAUUGUAUCAUGAGCAGAAAGCCUCAGGACAGUUCUGAGUAAAUGUGCAGUAAAGGGGACAAGCCGUCUAGUCCUGGCCACCACACUUCCCACUGUGGCAGCUCAUUCAAAUGCAGGUUGUCUCAGAGAGCUCGAGUAAUGGAAGCAGAGUAAUGGACCAGGUUUACCACCCAGAUUCACCCUUACAUCUCAGAUGGCCCAGCUCAUUUGUUGUCUUUUCCUAUUCAGCUGUGCAGUAUCAUUCUUAUUUAGUCCUAAAAUCCCAGAGGCAAUUCCAAUAGCUCCCAACUUCCUUUAACGCUGGUUAGCAAGAGAGGGAUGAGCUCGGCAUCUAAACACUAUAGUUGAUCACAGACCUAACACUUAUUCGAGGCACUAAGGGACAAGUCAGUCACUUAAUUGUCCUUAUGUGUGCCACGUGACUGAAAGUGCUAAGAGACUGGUGUAAUGCUUUGACUAUGACAUGUCCCUCGCAGUCUUUGGUCCCCAGCUGGGUGUGCUGGUUGGGCAGGUUUAGGAGGUGUGGCCUUGCUAAAGGAAGUGUGUUACUGGAGGGUGGGCUGUGAGGUCUCAAAAGCCCAUGCCAUCGCCAGUGUGCUCUCUCGGCUUCCUGCUUGCAAGUCAAGAUGGGAGUCCUCAGCCUGCUGCCUCUUCUCCGCCAUGAUGGAUGAACUAUGAGCCCAAAUAACCUCCUUCUUCUGUAAGUUGCCUUGGCUGUGGUGUUUUAUUACAGCAACAGAAAAGUACCUAACAACUGGGAGUUGUGAUUUAAACGAGGUUUAUUUUAUUUUUACUUAUGUUUAUGGGUGUGCAUGCACACAUGUGUGCAGCUGCUGGUGGAGACUGGAAGAGGGUGAUAGAUCCCAGAAACCUGGAAUUACAGGAGGUUGUAGCCAGCCAAGUGAGGGUACUGGAAGCCAAAAUCAGGUCUUUGAAAGAGCAGUAUGUGUUCUGAACAGCCAAGUCAUCUCUCCAGCUAGGCAGGCCCUGCUGGGUGUAGAGCUACAACUACGCGUUCUUUCUAUUAAAGGCAAAGAGAAGCUCACAGUCUUUUUGUUUGUUUGUUUUCUGAGACAGGGUUUCUCUGUGUAGCUUUGUGACUUUCCUGGAUCUCACUCUGUAGCCCAGGCUGGCCUCGAACUCACAGAGAUCCGCCUGCCUCUGCCUCCCGAAGAAGCUUGCAGUGUUAUUCAGUGGGACAUCACUAGCAGGAGGCUGCUCAGGACAGAGGAAGAAAUGCAUG